GGCCAAAAAGUUCGUUCGGAAUUUUCCAUCAUAAGUGGUGGCUAAUCCGAACAAAUUUUUGGGCC
ensembl:miRNA